UAAGACGAAGGUGGCAAGCGUUGUUCGGUAUUACUGGGCUUAAAGCGUGUGUGGCGGAAAAGUAAGCGUUUCGUGAAAUCCCCCGGCUUAACCGGGGAACUGCGCAACGAACUGCUUUUCUUGAGGCAAGUAGGGGCGCAUGGAACUCUUGGUGGAGCGGUGGAAUGCGUAGAUAUCAAGAGGAACGCCAGUGGAGAAGUCGGUGCGCUGGGCUUGUUCUGACGCUGAGACACGAAAGCGUGGGUAGCGAACGGGAUUAGAUACCCCGGUAGUCCACGCCGUAAACGAUGCCUACUAGGUUGUGAAAGUUCUGACACUGGCACAGCCGAAGCAAAAGUGUUAAGUAGGCCGCCUGGGGAGUACGGUCGCAAGGCUA
rnacentral:rRNA from 1 species